AGCCCUUGACAUGCCCGGCUAGCUACAGAGAUGUAGUGUUCCCUUCGGGGACCGGGACACAGGUGCUGCAUGGCUGUCGUCAGCUCGUGUCGUGAGAUGUUGGGUUAAGUCCCGCAACGAGCGCAACCCUCGCCCUUAGUUGCCAGCAUUCAGUUGGGCACUCUAAGGGGACUGCCGGUGAUAAGCCGAGAGGAAGGUGGGGAUGACGUCAAGUCCUCAUGGCCCUUACGGGCUGGGCUACACACGUGCUACAAUGGUGGUGACAGUGGGCAGCGAAGGAGCGAUCCCGAGCUAAUCUCCAAAAGCCAUCUCAGUUCGGAUUGCAUUCUGCAACUCGAGUGCAUGAAGUUGGAAUCGCUAGUAAUCGCGGAUCAGCACGCCGCGGUGAAUACGUUCCC
rnacentral:rRNA from 1 species